rnacentral:siRNA from 1 species
CACAUUUAUCAUUUUCAACCAAC